rnacentral:rRNA from 1 species
UNUGACUUGAGUGCAGAAGGGGAGAGUGGAAUUCCAUGUGUAGCGGUGAAAUGCGUAGAUAUAUGGAGGAACACCAGUGGCGAAAGCGGCUCUCUGGUCUGUCACUGACGCUGAGGCUCGAAAGCGUGGGUAGCGAACAGGAUUAGAUACCCUGGUAGUCCACGCCGUAAACGAUGAGUGCUAGGUGUUAGGCCCUUUCCGGGGCUUAGUGCCGGAGCUAACGCAAUAAGCACUCCGCCUGGGGAGUACGACCGCAAGGUUGAAACUCAAAGGAAUUGACGGGGGCCCGCACAAGCGGUGGAGCAUGUGGUUUAAUUCGAAGCAACGCGAAGAACCUUACCAGGUCUUGACAUCCCGAUGCUAUUCUUAGAGAUAGGAAGUUACUUCGGUACAUCGGAGACAGGUGGUGCAUGGUUGUCGUCAGCUCGUGUCGUGAGAUGUUGGGUUAAGUCCCGCAACGAGCGCAACCCUUAUUGUUAGUUGCCAUCAUUAAGUUGGGCACUCUAGCGAGACUGCCGGUAAUAAACCGGAGGAAGGUGGGGAUGACGUCAAAUCAUCAUGCCCCUUAUGACCUGGGCUACACACGUGCUACAAUGGUCGGUACAACGAGUUGCGAGCCGGUGACGGCAAGCUAAUCUCUGAAAGCCGAUCUCAGUUCGGAUUGGAGGCUGCAACUCGCCUCCAUGAAGUCGGAAUCGCUAGUAAUCGCGGAUCAGCACGCCGCGGUGAAUACGUUCCCGGGCCUUGUACACACCGCCCGUCACACCACGAGAGUUUGUAACACCCGAAGUCGGUGAGGUAACCUUUUAGGGGCCANCC